GCCAGGCAUGGUGGCUCAUGCCUGUAAUCCCAGCACUUUGGGAGGCUGAGGUGGGAGGAUCGCUUGAACUCAGGGGUGCGGGACCAGCCUGGGCAACAUAGCGAGACCUCACCUCUA
ensembl:misc_RNA Metazoa_SRP Metazoan signal recognition particle RNA